rnacentral:lncRNA from 1 species
CCUCGUCUCCUGCAGCAGUUGAGCGCCACCAGUCUGCUACUUAGAGAUUCCCCUCUAAAGUUUUAAGCUUUUUUUUUUCCAUCAGCAAACAUUUGUUGCCCCAGGCACUGGUGAAGACAUUGGGGAUAUAAAGAAGAGUGUGACAAGAAAAGUUAACUGGAGAGCCCGGUGUGGUGAUGCACCGCUGUAAUCCCAGCCCUCGGGAGACUGAAGCAGGAGGAUUGCCAAAAGUUCAAGGAAGCCACAUCUCUACCCUGCUCAGUCCUCUUCUCCAAGACCUGCACCAAUUCGUGAAUCUUGAGUAAAAGCCAAUUAGAUCUGAAACUAAAUUUGUCCUGAUUUUAUUUUUUGAAAAUAAAAAACUCAAAAGACAAAUAAGAAGUGCAAAAAA